UACGUAGGGUGCGAGCGUUGUCCGGAAUUAUUGGGCGUAAAGAGCUCGUAGGCGGUUUGUCGCGUCUGCUGUGAAAAUCCGGGGCUCAACUCCGGACUUGCAGUGGGUACGGGCAGACUAGAGUGAGGUAGGGGAGACUGGAAUUCCUGGUGUAGCGGUGAAAUGCGCAGAUAUCAGGAGGAACACCGAUGGCGAAGGCAGGUCUCUGGGCCUUUACUGACGCUGAGGAGCGAAAGCAUGGGGAGCGAACAGG
rnacentral:rRNA from 1 species